GAUUUACUCCCGACGGCCAUCGAGUAUCGACAUAUAUCACACGGAAAUUUAAGGAAAGAGUCUGCAUAUCUGAGACUACAUGGAGACAUGUAGAUGUUGCAACUAAGGAUUUUUAUUAUCAAGAAUUUGUGAAAAAAUAUACGUGGGAGGAUGGGCACGUGGUAGAAUUUGCAGCAACUUGGAAUAUUUAUUGUGCCAAGUUGUACAAAGACCUAUUAUACUAUGUGAGAAAGGAUGUCACACGACCAGAUUAAGUAUCCGACGAGAUCUGGAGUGCAUGGACGACCACUUGGUCUAUAGAAAGAUGGCAGACAAAGGCUCUAAAAGCAAGAGCGAAUAGGAAUACAGAGCCAAGUGGCCCGAGUACCGGAUCUGCUCGGCAUACAUCAAGAUCUCGAUCUAUUGUUGAGCACACUAUGGAUCUGGAGCGUUCUUUAUAAAGACAACCUACUUGCCUGGAGAUCUUUCUCAAGACUCACCAGAGAAAGGAUGACACAUAUGUUGAUGCUUGAUCAAAGAACAUUGGGGUUUGAAUUAUUAACUUGCAAUUUAUAUUUAAUCUUUAAUAAUGAAUAAUUAACUUUAAUAAUUAUGUAUAAGAUAUAAAUUGUAAAUUUUUUCUACACUGGAGGAAAUGACAAACAUGGUUGCUCAGACAUCUCAACCACCAGUAGAGGGAGGGGAGUCACAAGAUCUAUCCACCCAGGAAAUAAAUGAAAUUUAUUAUGAUGUUGUGGGUGGAAGGACAAAGAACUCCUCCCUCUACGGCCUUGGC